ACUACGGGCGGCUGCAGUGGGGGAUAUUGCACAAUGGGGGAAACCCUGAUGCAGCGACGCCGCGUGAGUGAAGAAGUAUUUCGGUAUGUAAAGCUCUAUCAGCAGGGAAGAAAAUGACAGUACCUGACCAAGAAGCCCCGGCUAACUACGUGCCAGCAGCCGCGGUAAUACGUAGGGGGCAAGCGUUAUCCGGAUUUACUGGGUGUAAAGGGAGCGUAGACGGUUAUGUAAGUCUGGAGUGAAAGCCCGGGGCCCAACCCCGGGACUGCUUUGGAAACUGUGUAACUGGAGUACAGGAGGGGCAGGCGGAAUUCCUAGUGUAGCGGUGAAAUGCGUAGAUAUUAGGAAGAACACCAGUGGCGAAGGCGGCUUUCUGGACUGAAACUGACGCUGAGGCACGAAAGCGUGGGGAGCGAACAGGAUUAGAUACCCCUGUAGUC
rnacentral:rRNA from 1 species